AGAACACGCAAAUGCUAAAUAUUACCUUCGCCUGCCUGCCUUCCCCCCCGCCCCUUUCUGUAUUCUGCAGCGAGAGCUGCAAAUGCCACCAGCACCCAGAGCGUUACCUUGUUCUUUGGGGUCACUGCUGGAGGCUCUUGAUUAGUGAUGGCCAAAAUAUUCUAUUCAAACCACCAAGAUGGCCUAUACACGGCUCUAAUCCAGUGACACAGCCUACAUAAGCACCGACACGCAGACAUGCAUAAUUUAUCCAGUCCACUGCUCUGGGCCUUGCUUACACAAUUGCCAUGAACAAUAGCGUGAUCGCAGCGGCGCGCUGUACUUCGGGGGCGAGCGGGGUAUAGCUGGGAGUGAAUACCGUGCCGCUGCGCACACGGAGAAGACUGCGCAUUUCUCCCUGUCCGCCCCAGCCUUCCUCGGCUUGGAAAUACACUCUGUCAAAAAACAGGCUGUGCCACGUCUCAAAACCUUUCAGGUUUUGGCCCGUUCUGAACCGAACUCCUGAGAGGCUCCUGGAAAGGAAAUGCACACGAUCAGAUGUCAAGCAGCUGACAAGUGUGUCAACCUUGCAGCUGGAGAGUUGGCAGCUGUCCCAUGACUUAUUUUCCUCCCCGGGGGACCGAGGCGGGGAUGGAGUUACCUUCCCCAGAACAUUCCUCGAGGAGCAGCACGCCGGACUUGGUUACGCUUGGACAAAAGCGUCGCUCAGGAUCUUCUUGAAGCCUCAGUCAGCAGAAAGCGAGAAACGUGCUCGCUUCAGUCAGCCGUCUUCCCUUUCAUCUUUUGCCGCAGCACCUGUUUCAGGAAAUCGGGGUAAUUAACACGGUUGUGUCCUGCCCGCGCUAAUGCUUUGGGCUGCGCUCGCUGCACGCUAGGAGCCUUCUGCCUCGUUUCUGUCUAUUGUAGCAGAGGGAAAAGCGGGAACCAAGAAAGAGCAAAAGUGAGUGUAUCCCAUGCAAAAAAAACCUGCAGCUAAAACGACAGCUUGUUGAGCCUUUUCUGGGGAGAGCCCAGGCCCUGCACGGGCUCCUGGCGGAUUUGCCGGCAGCCGGCGGCGCUCCAGCCCCGGCGCCCUCGGAGCCUGCCCACCCAGGAGCCGCCAGGAGUGGAGCGCUGGGAUUAACAAGUCAGCCAGACGGGCUGUACACGGGGCAAGAUUAGCCUGUGCUAAAGCGUUUCCUAAUCCCAGAAGCAGCUGGGAUAAUCUAAGCAUAGAUUAACCAGGUCUAGCUGGAGUUAAACUCCCUGCAGCCUGUUUAUUUUUGGACGGAGGGCGUGAAGAGGCUGCUGUUGCUCUGGUGCCUCAUCGGAUAUUCUCAUGUAUAUUAACCGUCCCACCACCCUUUCCCUCCUUGGCCUCAAAUCCACUCCACAGCCCCGCACUGAGCCAUCAGAAACCUCACUGGGAGAACAGGAUAUGAAAACCCAGUCUAGCAGAUUUGCCUUCCAGCAGAGUUCCCAAAUCAUAUAGCUUUAUGAUAAGCUUUGUCGUACAAGGUUGCAUUUUUUCUCAAGGCCUCCAGUCCUGGAUUUCUGUGAUUGUGUAGCUAUCUAUGUUUUCAUUUGUUUAAAAAAAAAAAAAAAAGGACCUCAGAAAAGCAAAGAAAACAAUGGAAAUAUAAAACUGCUGUCUUCAAGAAAGUCCUUCUAGUAGGGUUUCCCAAUUUCUAGAUUUGCUGUGGGGUAACUCAGUGAAUAGUUCAGGGAACAAUCUUCAUGAGCCUUUAACUCAGCAACAUUUGCUGUAUUUGAAAAGC
ensembl:lncRNA